GGGGAUUUAGCUCAGUGGUAGAGCGCUUGCCUAGCAAGCGCAAGCGCAAGGCCCUGGGUUCAGUACCCAGCUCCG
rfam:Rattus norvegicus chromosome 1, whole genome shotgun sequence.